rnacentral:rRNA from 1 species
GACGAACGCUGGCGGCGUGCUUAACACAUGCAAGUCGAACGGAAAGGCCCUGCUUGCCGGGUACUCGAGUGGCGAACGGGUGAGUAACACGUGGGUGAUCUGCCCUGCACUUCGGGAUAAGCCUGGGAAACUGGGUCUAAUACCGGAUAGGAGCCAUUUUUAGUGUGAUGGUUGGAAAGUUUUUUCGGUGUAGGAUGAGCUCGCGGCCUAUCAGCUUGUUGGUGGGGUAAUGGCCUACCAAGGCGGCGACGGGUAGCCGGCCUGAGAGGGUGGACGGCCACCUUGGGACUUAGAUACGGCCCAGACCCCUACGGGAGGCAGCAGUGGGGAAUAUUGCACAAUGGGCGCAAGCCUGAUGCAGCGACGCCGCGUGGGGGAUGACGGCCUUCGGGUUGUAAACUCCUUUCGCUAGGGACGAAGCUUUUUGUGACGGUACCUAGAUAAGAAGCACCGGCUAACUACGUG